rnacentral:rRNA from 1 species
AGGCCCGACAUGUUACGCCGUCUGGUGGAUGGCUCGGCUUGAGCGCUGAAGAAGGGCGCAGCCAGCCGCGAAAGAGCCCCAGGUAAGCGUAUGCAGCUUUAGAACUGGGGAUUCCUGAAUGGGACCUCCUACCGCGGUUCUUCGGAACCGUGGUGCCCCCAGAUGGGGGCGGGAACCCCCCGAACGGAAGCAUCUUAGUAGGGGGAGGAAAAGAAACCAAAUGGGAUUCCCUUAGUAACAGCGAGCGAAAAGGGAAAAGUCCAAACCGAACCCCAUGGGGAAGACUCACGGGGGAUGUAGAGUUAUGGGUCCGGCUUCCUUCUCCCUGGUGAAGCUGAAGUGGCUUGGAAAGGCCCGCCAUAGAGGGUGAAAGCCCCGUAAGCGUAAACUGGAAGGAGUUGAGCUGGUGUCCCAGAGUACCGUACCCUGGUUUGGGUGCGGGAAGUUGGAAGGCACCGACUUCCAAGACUAAAUACGUCUCAAGACCGAUAGCGCACUAGUACGGUGACAGAAAGUUGAAAAGCACCCCGGAAGGGGGGUGAAAAGUGCCUGAAACCAGACGGUUACAGACGUGUGCAGCCCGGAAGGGUAGAUCCCUCCCAAAGGAAACCGCCGUGAGGCGGCAGUACGAGGGAGGGGGACCAGGGUUGCACGUUCCGUCUAGAAACACGGGCCGGGGAGUUCACGGCUGUGGCAAGCCUAAGGGUCUGGAAGCCCGUAGGCGUAGGGAAACCAACAUGCGCACAGCCAGCUCUUGAGCUGGUGAGGCGCGGAGUCUGAAAGGGCUUGGAGUCACGGCUGUGAGACUAGAAACCGGGCGAUCUAGCCCUGGGCAGGGCGAAGCCAGGCGAAAGCCUAGUGGAGGCCCGAAAGGGUGCUGACGUGCAAUUCGUUCCCCAGACCUGGGGUUAGGGGCUAAAGACCAAUCUAGCCCGGUGAUAGCUAGUUCCCUCCGAAGUGGGUCGCAGCCCAGUCCCGGGCGAGGAAGCCGGUGGGGUAGAGCACUGAUUGGGAAGUAAGGAGUCGAAAGACCCCGCUUUCCUCUCAAACUCCGAAUUCAUCGGCGCCGUAGACCCUGGGAGACGGGUUACAGGGGGUAAGCUCCUGGACCGAGAGGGGGACAACCCAGACUGAGGUUAAGGCCCCAAAGUGCUGGCUAAAUGUCAAACAGAAGGGCGUCAUAAGCCUUAGACAGCUGGGAGGUAGGCUUAGAAGCAGCCACCCUUUAAAGAAAGCGUAACAGCUCACCAGCCGAGGCUUAUGGCCCCGAAAAUUGACGGGGCUAAGCCAGCCGCCGAUACCUCAGGGCGCAGCUUAGCGCUGCGUCGGUAGGAGGGCGUCCUGACUGGGCAGAAGCUGGGCCGUGAGGUCCAGUGGACCGGUUCAGGAUUGCAGAUCCCGGUGGUAGUAACAGCAAAGAGGGGUGAGAAUCCCCUCCGCCGAAAGGGCCAGGGUUCCCCGGCAACGCGUCGUCAGCCGGGGGUAAGUCGGUCCUAAGGCAUGGCCUAACCGACCAUGUCGAAAGGGAAUCCGGUUAAAAUUCCGGAACCACGAAGGUACGAUUGCGGCGACGCAAGCUUAACGCCUGACGCUUCGGGGUAGGUUGAGCAAGGUUGUCGCCUUGUUUAACCGUAUAAGCCUGGGGAGUGCCGUAAUGGCGAGAACCAGGUGAAAGCGGGAAUAGCCGUCCGUUUUAGGGCGGUUCAGCUGAUUUCUGGAGUCAUUGAAAAGGGUGUUAAGAAGGAUUCUUCGUGCCCGUACCUAGAACCGACACAGGUGUCCCUAGGCGAGAAACCUAAGGCGUGUCGGGUACACGCCAAGCGAGGGAAUUCGGCAAAUUAGUCCUGUACCUUCGGUAUAAGGGGUGCCUGCAGUUUUGGUCUCUGACUGGAACAGCAGGUCGCAGUGGCAAGGGGGUCCCGACUGUUUAAUAAAAACAUAGGAAGCCGCAAGCGCGAAAGCGUGUGAACGGCUUCUGAAUCCUGGCCAGUACAGGUACCUGAAACCUGGGUUCAACCGGGCUAAGGGCCUGCAAACGCCGGGAGUAACUCUGACUCUCUCAAGGUAGCCAAAUGCCUUGUCGGGUAAGUUCCGACGUGCAUGAAUGGAUCAACGAGGGCCCCGCUGUCCCCGCUUGGUACCCGGUGAACCCACGUAACGUGGACGAACAGUCCACGAACUCCCAGCGGGAAAAGAAGUCCCCGUGGAGUUUUACUGCAGCCUGCCGCUGGAAUACGGCUGUGGAUGCAGAGUGUAGACGGGAGCCGUUUGAUCCUGGUUUCUCAGGGAACUGGGGUAGGCGACAAUGGAACACCGUCCUUUUGCAACCGUGUUUCUUACCAGCGCUUCGGCGCUGAAACAACGGUUGGUGGGCAGUUUGGCUGGGGCGGCACGCCCUCGAAAAAAUAUCAAGGGCGCCCUAAGGUCGGCUCAGACGGGACAGAAACCCGUCGUAGAGUGCAAGGGCAAAAGCCGGCCUGACUGGAUCCUCCACAUUAAGGGAUGCAGAGGCGAAAGCCGGGCUUAGCGAUCAUCCAUGUCCCCCUUGGUGGGGGCUGGAUGUGUCAGAAAAAUUACCCCGGGGAUAACAGGCUCGUCGCGGGCGAGAGUCCCUAUCGACCCCGCGGCUUGGUACCUCGAUGUCGGCUCUUCCUAUCCUGGCCCUGCAUAAGGGGCCAAGGGUGAGGCUGCUCGCCUAUUAAAAGGGAACGUGAGCUGGGUUUAGACCGUCGUGAGACAGGUCGGACUUUAUCUGCUGGGAGUGCUGGCUGCCUGAGGGGAAAGGGUCCCUAGUACGAGAGGAACGGGACGUUGUGGCCACUAGUUAACCGGUUGUCCGACAGGGCAGAUGCCGGGCAGCCACGCCGCUGAGGAUAAGGGCUGAAAGCAUCUAAGCCCGAAGCCUCUCCCGAAAAUAGGCAGCCAUUCCCCAUAAACGCUGGGCUGGCAACAGCUUGGCUAACGGGACGAGGGCUCCCAUAGAAGAUGGGUUUGAUGGAGCCGGGGUGUAAGCCGGAAGGCUUCGGCUGACCGGUUCAGCCUGCGGCCCCCAACCGCCUGAGAUGUCGGGCUA